rnacentral:rRNA from 1 species
AACGAACGCUGGCGGCAGGCCUAACACAUGCAAGUCGAGCGAAGCCUUCGGGCUUAGCGGCGGACGGGUGAGUAACGCGUGGGAACGUGCCCUUUGGUACGGAAUAGCCCCGGGAAACUGGGAGUAAUACCGUAUGUGGUCGAGAGACGAAAGAUUUAUCGCCAAAGGAUCGGCCCGCGUUGGGUUAGGUAGUUGGUGGGGUAAUGGCCUACCAAGCCGACGAUCCAUAGCUGGUUUGAGAGGAUGAUCAGCCACACUGGGACUGAGACACGGCCCAGACUCCUACGGGAGGCAGCAGUGGGGAAUCUUAGACAGUGGGGGAAACCCUGAUCUAGCCAUGCCGCGUGAUCGAUGAAGGCCUUAGGGUUGUAAAGAUCUUUCAGUGGGGAAGAUAAUGACUGUACCCACAGAAGAAGCCCCGGCUAACUCCGUGCCAGCCGCCGCGGUAAAAC